rnacentral:rRNA from 1 species
UACGGGAGGCAGCAGUGGGGAAUAUUGCACAAUGGGCGCAAGCCUGAUGCAGCCAUGCCGCGUGUAUGAAGAAGGCCUUCGGAUUGUAAAGUACUUUCAGUCGUGAGGAAGGUGUUAAGGUUAAUAACCUUAGCAAUUGACGUUAGCGACAGAAGAAGCACCGGCUAACUCCGUGCCAGCAGCCGCGGUAAUACGGAGGGUGCGAGCGUUAAUCGGAAUUACUGGGCGUAAAGGGCACGCAGGCGGUUAAUUAAGUUGGAUGUGAAAUCCCCGGGCUUAACCUGGGAAUGGCAUUCAAGACUGGUUAGCUAGAGUCUUGUAGAGGGGGUAGAAUUCCAUGUGUAGCGGUGAAAUGCGUAGAGAUGUGGAGGAAUACCGGUGGCGAAGGCGGCCCCUGGGACAAAGACUGACGCUCAUGUGCGAAAGCGUGGGGAGCAAACAGGAUUAGAUACC